rnacentral:sRNA from 1 species
ACUUGACUGAAAAUCAAAUUCAUUAGGAAUUCAACAUUUAAAUUAAAAUUCAACACUUGAAUUAAAAUGGAAUUGAAAUGAUCAAACUGUAAAAUAAACUACACGCUUCAGAAAUAGAAUUCAUGCUGUGUUUUGAAAUAGAACUGGAAAAGAAAAGAGGCAAAAGCCUCCUCCAAGCCGUGACUUCUCCUAAACUACUCCUAAUCUCACACUAAAAUCCCCUAAACUCUCUGCCUGCUGCUGUCCUUUUAUUGCCAAUUCUCUGAUUUCUUUACUCAAUUAAUGAGCAAGUGGGAUCUCCAUUUUGUGGUGUCCGUUUCCAGCCCAAGAUUCACGUGAAUUCCCCUCCAGCCAUUCCAAACUGCUGUAGCUUCCUCUACUGCCAUGUCCGUGAACUACUCUUUCUUCCAACCAAUCCAUCACGUGAAUAACUCAACACUUAGUGAAGCACUUUCUCCUUUCUCACGCUGGACUUUGUGGUUGCUGCAUUUGAAGCUACUAAAUGCUUGCUGGCCGUAUAAGUGCAGCCCCUUGUGAAGUGUUGGUGCUGGAUUAAGGUGAUGGACAUCCUCAAAGCUUGCUACCGUGUUCUCGGGUGGUGAUGGACAUCCUCAAAGCUUGCUACCGUGUUCUCGGGUGGUGGCUCCAACCUGUCCCAGCUUUCUCUCCGUGAAGCCCAUUGACGUGAACUCCUUUCU